GAUGAACGCUGGCGGCGUGCCUAAUACAUGCCAGUCGAGCGAACGGACGAGAAGCUUGCUUCUCUGAUGUUAGCGGCGGACGGGUGAGUAACACGUGGAUAACCUACCUAUAAGACUGGGAUAACUUCGGGAAACCGGAGCUAAUACCGGAUAAUAUUUUGAACCGCAUGGUUCAAAAGUGAAAGACGGUCUUGCUGUCACUUAUAGAUGGAUCCGCGCUGCAUUAGCUAGUUGGUAAGGUAACGGCUUACCAAGGCAACGAUGCAUAGCCGACCUGAGAGGGUGAUCGGCCACACUGGAACUGAGACACGGUCCAGACUCCUACGGGAGGCAGCAGUAGGGAAUCUUCCGCAAUGGGCGAAAGCCUGACGGAGCAACGCCGCGUGAGUGAUGAAGGUCUUCGGAUCGUAAAACUCUGUUAGUAGGGAAGAACAUAUGUGUAAGUAACUGUGCACAUCUUGACGGUACCUAAUCAGAAAGCCACGGCUAACUACGUG
rnacentral:rRNA from 1 species